AAUCCAUGGUGUGGACAGUCUCGCAGGAAGAACUUAAAUCUGAUCCACGCGUCUUUAAAAGUCUCACCAGGCUUUUGCGUGAAAGUGGCGAUUUUGCUCCUUAAGUCU